GACGAACGCUGGCGGCGUGCUUAACACAUGCAAGUCGAACGGAAAGGCCCUGCUUUUGUGGGGUGCUCGAGUGGCGAACGGGUGAGUAACACGUGAGUAACCUGCCCUUGACUUUGGGAUAACUUCAGGAAACUGGGGCUAAUACCGGAUAGGAGCUCCUGCUGCAUGGUGGGGGUUGGAAAGUUUCGGCGGUUGGGGAUGGACUCGCGGCUUAUCAGCUUGUUGGUGGGGUAGUGGCUUACCAAGGCUUUGACGGGUAGCCGGCCUGAGAGGGUGACCGGCCACAUUGGGACUGAGAUACGGCCCAGACUCCUACGGGAGGCAGCAGUGGGGAAUAUUGCACAAUGGGCGGAAGCCUGAUGCAGCAACGCCGCGUGCGGGAUGACGGCCUUCGGGUUGUAAACCGCUUUCGCCUGUGACGAAGCGUGAGUGACGGUAAUGGGUAAAGAAGCACCGGCUAACUACGUGCCAGCAGCCGCGGUGAUACGUAGGGUGCGAGCGUUGUCCGGAUUUAUUGGGCGUAAAGGGCUCGUAGGUGGUUGAUCGCGUCGGAAGUGUAAUCUUGGGGCUUAACCCUGAGCGUGCUUUCGAUACGGGUUGACUUGAGGAAGGUAGGGGAGAAUGGAAUUCCUGGUGGAGCGGUGGAAUGCGCAGAUAUCAGGAGGAACACCAGUGGCGAAGGCGGUUCUCUGGGCCUUUCCUGACGCUGAGGAGCGAAAGCGUGGGGAGCGAACAGGCUUAGAUACUCUGGUAGUCCACGCUGUAAACGGUGGGUACUAGGUGUGGGGUCCAUUCCACGGGUUCCGUGCCGUAGCUAACGCUUUAAGUACCCCGCCUGGGGAGUACGGCCGCAAGGCUAAAACUCAAAGGAAUUGACGGGGCCCCGCACAAGCGGCGGAGCAUGCGGAUUAAUUCGAUGCAACGCGUAGAACCUUACCUGGGUUUGACAUGGAUCGGGAGUGCUCAGAGAUGGGUGUGCCUCUUUUGGGGUCGGUUCACAGGUGGUGCAUGCCUGUCGUCAGCUCGUGUCGUGAGAUGUUGGGUUAAGUCCCGCAACGAGCGCAACCCUUGUUCACUGUUGCCAGCACGUUAUGGUGGGGACUCAGUGGAGACCGCCGGGGUCAACUCGGAGGAAGGUGGGGAUGACGUCAAGUCAUCAUGCCCCUUAUGUCCAGGGCUUCACGCAUGCUACAAUGGCUGGUACAGAGAGUGGCGAGCCUGUGAGGGUGAGCGAAUCUCGGAAAGCCGGUCUCAGUUCGGAUUGGGGUCUGCAACUCGACCUCAUGAAGUCGGAGUCGCUAGUAAUCGCAGAUCAGCAACGCUGCGGUGAAUACGUUCCCGGGACU
rnacentral:rRNA from 1 species